CUUGAUGGUGGUUGUGCGCAUGGCGCCCUCGGGCGCGCCGGGUUUGGGUGGCUUACCGGUCGACUAACUUGCGCACAGCCGCCUCCCUU
rfam:Pseudomonas sp. VI4.1 NODE_2_length_262271_cov_37.1556, whole genome shotgun sequence.